CAGUAGCCGCGGUAAUACGAAGGGUGCAAGCGUUACUCGGAAUUACUGGGCGUAAAGCGUGCGUAGGUGGUGGUUUAAGUCCGUUGUGAAAGCCCUGGGCUCAACCUGGGAAUUGCAGUGGAUACUGGGUCACUAGAGUGUGGUAGAGGAUAGUGGAAUUUCCGGUGUAGCAGUGAAAUGCGUAGAGAUCGGAAGGAACAUCUGUGGCGAAGGCGACUAUCUGGGCCAACACUGACACUGAGGCACGAAAGCGUGGGGAGCAAACAGGAUUAGAUACCCCCGUAGUCCCUGUCUAUUAUAC
rnacentral:rRNA from 1 species